rnacentral:rRNA from 1 species
CACACGACUCUCAGCAACGGAUAUCUCGGCUCUCGCAUCGAUGAAGAACAUAGCAAAAUGCGAUACCUAGUGUGAAUUGCAGAAUCCCGUGAACCAUCGAGUUUUUGAAUGCAAGUUGUGCCCGAGGCCUUCUGGCUGAGGGCAUGCCUGCCUGGCCAUCACGC